ACAUCAAAAAACAAUUGGCCUAGUGGCAGACUCUUAAUCCCAUUAUUCAGAAGGUAGAGGUAGGGGGAUCUCAGAGAGUUUGAGGCCAUCCUGUUCUAUGUAACAGGUUCCAGACCAGCCAGGGCUACAUAAUAAGACCUUGUCUUAAAAAUAUAUAUGUAUAUGUGUAUAUACACAUACAUACAUACAUACAUACAUACAUACAUACAUACAUACAUACAUACAUGGGCUGGGGAUAAAGAGAAGGCUCAGUAAUUAGAGCACUGGGCCUUCCAGGGUACCCAAGUUCAGUUUUCAGUAUCUAUAUGAUGGCUUACAACUAUCUAUAACUCAGUUCCUAGGGAUCUAAGCCCUUUCUUGGCUUCUGUAGGCACUGUGCCAAUGUAGAACACAGACACAGUCAAAACACUCAUAAACAUAAAAUAAAAAUGAAGGGAAAGAUAAAACAGACAUUAUUGUGGUGCAGUGCCCCUGACUGUACAGGAAUACAUGCAGUUUUACAGAGACCUGCUCUCUCAUAUCUUCACUAAAUCUAGAAAGUUACAGAUUGUACUAGUUGUUUUGUUUUUAAGUCACUAUUGAGGUUGAAGUUCUGUAGCAACUACCUCAGAGAGGGCUAGCUCCUCCAUAGCUCUAUUCAGGUCUGUGUGACAAAGUUGUUAUGUCAAGCAUGAGUGCCAAACAGGCUUUACACUUCUUUCCCCACAGUAUUUCCAUCAGGCUGGAAAGCAUAUGAAGUGUAAAGGAUAAUUUUGGUAUUAAGAUUCGUAUCUGGGCCUGGUGUGUGUCUAUAAUCCCAGCACAUGGACGGUAGAGGCAGAAAUGUCAAAUCAUCUUUAGCAACAGAACAAGUUCAAGCUAGCUAUGGCUACAAGAGACCUGUCUCAAUAAACAAACAAACAGACAAAUAAAUGGAGUCUUUUAUGACUUCCCUUGUUACAUCAAUCUUUGAUUGUGCUGUAGGUGUUAGAUGCAGUGUCUCAUGGCUACGUUGUUACAGACAAAUGAUACUUGUUUGAAGGCUUGGUCAUUUAUUGAUCUGCAUGGAAAUUGUGAAUACUGUAUGUAGGACUAAGGAAGCAGCCAGUGGACACAUGGAUAGGCUAAUCUGUGACAUGUCAGGAACCAACCACAACAAAAGGAAGGCAUCCAUUGGUGUGCUGCUUGUCUGCUCUGCAGUUGCUGCCUAGCCUAUUUUCCUAUGUGAAGAGACCAGAGCACCUCUGCUGUGCAUUAUACCACCACAUUGGAGAUGCGCUCAGGAGCUUAUAUGCUGAACUCGAUGGCUCAUAAGAGCACUGGCUGAGUGGUGCCUUAGUUCCAGUACUCAAGAGCCAAAGGCUGGUGGGUCUCUGAGUUCAAGGUCAGCCUGGUCUACAGAGUGAGUUCCAGGAUAGCUAGGGCUAAACAGAGAAACCUUGUCUCUGGGAGUAGGGUGGGGGAGCAUUGUCUGCUUGUCUGGAUAAUCCCGGUUUGAUUUCCAACACCUAAAUUGUGGUUCACAACCAUCUGUUACUCCAGUUCCAGGGGAUCUGACACCCUGUUCUGGGCUAUUUGAACACUGCAUGCAAGUGGUGUACAGACGUACAUGCAGGCAAAACACAAUAAACAUAAAAUUGAAAUAUAGGUUUAAGCCGGGCAUGGUGGCACACGCCUUUAGUCCCAGCACUCGGGAGGCAGAGGCGGCAGGCGGAUUUCUGAGUUCGAGGCCAGCCUGGUCUACAAAGUGAGUUCCAGGACAGCCAGGGCUAUACAGAGAAACCCUGUCUCAAAACAACAACAACAACAAACAAAGAAGAAAGAUUUAAAAAAAGUUUGUAAGCUGAAGGCCUAAGGAGAAGUUCCAAAGCAUAAUUUUGCCUUUUAAACCUUGUAGUUAUGGAUUUUGACAAAUGGCCACCAAUUAGAGGAGUCACACUGCACUGUCAUCUCAGCGCUCAGGAGACUGAGGCAGGAAGAUUGCAAGCAUGGGGCUGGUCUGACCUAACAGGGAGUUUUAGGCUGGCCUAGCUUACAUAAAGACCUUAUCUUUUAAAAAAGAAAUAGGGGGCUGGAGAGAUGGCUCAGUGGUUAAGAGCACUGACUCCUCUUCCAGAGGUCCUGAGUUCAAUUCCCAGCAACCACAUGGUGGCUCACAACCAUCUGUAAUGAGACCUGACGCCCUCUUCUGGUGUGUCUGAAGACAGUACAGUGUACUACACUGUAUACUAAAUAAAUAAAUCUUUAAAAAAAAAAAGAAACAGAAAACAAUGUGGUCCCCAGCUGACCAUCGGAGUGUCUGGAUGAGUAGCCAGCAUACUCGUGCUUACAAAGCAAAAGUGUGGACUUGCAGCAAUAUACAACUUUGUGAUGUGAAAAUAAGUGAUUUGGUUAGUGUUAGUAUGUUUCCUAAAUAAAGUUAGUAUCUGUUGAAGAG
rnacentral:lncRNA from 1 species